ensembl:lncRNA
UAGACCUUUAUCAUAUUCCCUCUUAAUCUCUUUUCUAAAAUGAAUAGUUCCAGUCUUUUUUAAUCUUUACUCAUAUGGAAGCUGUUACAUACUCCUAAUAAUUUGUAUUGGCCCUCUCAGUAUUUUAUCCAGUUCUAAUAGAUCUUUAAGAUGGAGCAACUAGAACUGCACACACUAUUCAAAAUGUGGGUGUACCAUGGAUUUAUAUAGUGGCAUUAUGGUAUAUUCUGUCUUAUUUUCUAUCCCCUUCCUAAUAGUUCCUAAUAUUGCUAGCUUUUUGACUGCCACUGCACAUUGAGCAGAUAUUUUCAGAGUCAUCCAUGAUGACUUUCAGGAGUAGUAACCACUAAGGUGUUAUAAGGAGGGCUUUGGGAUGUACGGUCACUGGGAAGCAUUUACGGAUAGACGACUGUUCGCUCAGGAUGGACUUCAUCUAAGCAAGGAGGGAAAUAGAAUUCUAGGAUGGAGGCUCGCCGACCUCAUCAAGAGAGCUUUAAACUAGGAAGUUGGGGGAGAUGGUUGGGAGAUGUUCGGGAGAUCUCCACGCCGGAAUGUAACCUGGAGAGGAAAGUAAACAAAGUGAGAGGGGAUACCCUUGUGGUCCCAAGAUUUGAUCCAAGGAGGAAUAGUGGAGUAGAAACCAGAGUAACGGGUGAUGCUGGUGGUAAAAGGUCUCUGCACGACGGGGGAAAGAAUGUCACUGAUGCCAAACGCCGAAAAUUAAAAGGUCUGUACACUAAUGCGAGGAGUCUAGGUAACAAGAUGGAGGAACUGGAGUUACUAGUGCAGGAAGUGAAACCGGAUAUUAUAGGGAUAACUGAAACCUGGUGGAAUAGUACUCAUGACUGGAGCACGGGUAUUGAAGGCUAUGUGCUGUUUAGAAAAGACAGGAAGAAAGGCAAAGGUGGUGGAGUAGCCUUGUACAUCAAUGAUGAAAUUAACUGUAGCGAAAUAAGAAGCGAUGGAAUGGAUAAGACAGAGUCUGUCUGGGCGAAAAUCACACUGGGUAAAAAAGCAACUAGAGCUUCCCCUGAGAUAGUGCUUGGCGUGUGCUACAGACCGCCGGGAUCUGAUUGGGAUAUGGAUAGAGACCUCUUUAAUGUCUUUAAUGAAGUAAACACAAAGGGGAAAUGUGUGAUUAUGGGGGACUUCAACUUCCCGGAUAUAGACUGGAGGACGAGUACUUGCAAGAAUAAUAGGGGUCAGAUUUUUCUGGAUGUGAUAGCGGAUGGAUUUCUUCAUCAAGUAGUUGAAGUACCUACGAGAGGAGAUGCCAUUUUAGAUUUGGUGUUGGUGAGCAGUGAGGACCUCGUAGAAGAAAUGGUGGUAGGGGACAACCUUGGUUCGAGUGAUCAUGAGCUGAUUCAGUUCAAACUAGAUGGAAGGAUAAACAAAUGUAGAUCUGGGAUUAGGGUUUUUGACUUCUCGAGGGCUAAUUUUAAAGAGUUAAGGAAAUUAGUUAGGGAAGUGGAUUGGACGGAGGAAUUAGUGGAUUUAAAUGCGGAGGAGGCCUGGAAUUACUUUAAGUCGCAGCUGCGGAGACUGUCGGAAG